CCUACGGGAGGCUGCAGUGGGGAAUAUUGGACAAUGGGCGAAAGCCUGAUCCAGCCAUGCCGCGUGUGUGAAGAAGGCCUUCGGGUUGUAAAGCACUUUCAGUGGGGAAGAAAGCCUUGGGGCUAAUACCCUCGAGGAAGGACAUCACCCACAGAAGAAGCACCGGCUAACUCCGUGCCAGCAGCCGCGGUAAUACGGAGGGUGCGAGCGUUAAUCGGAAUUACUGGGCGUAAAGCGCGCGUAGGCGGUCUGAUAAGCCGGUUGUGAAAGCCCCGGGCCAACCUGGGAACGGCAUCGGAACUGUCAGGCUAGAGUGCAGGAGAGGAAGGUAGAAUUCCCGGUGUAGCGGUGAAAUGCGUAGAGAUCGGGAGGAAUACCAGUGGCGAAGGCGGCCUUCUGGACUGACACUGACGCUGAGGUGCGAAAGCGUGGGUAGCAAACAGGAUUAGAUACCCCAGUAGUC
rnacentral:rRNA from 1 species